GGACCCGCACAAGCGGUGGAGCAUGUGGUUUAAUUCGAUGCAACGCGAAAAACCUUACCUACUCUUGACAUACUUGGGAGCUCUUGUAAUGAGAGUGUGCCUUUUGGAACCAAGAUACAGGUGCUGCAUGGCUGUCGUCAGCUCGUGUCGUGAGAUGUUCCGUUAAGUCGGAUAACGAGCGCAACCCUUACCCUUAUUUGCCAGCGAUUCGGUCGGGAACUAUAAGGGGACUGCCGGUGAUAAACCGGAGGAAGGUGAGGACGACGUCAAGUCAUCAUGGCCCUUACGAGUAGGGCUACACACGUGCUACAAUGGGGAAUACAGACGGACGCUAAGCCGCGAGGUGGUGCUAAUCCUAGAAAGCCGGUCGUAGUCCGGAUUGGGGUCUGCAACUCGACCCCAUGAAGUCGGAAUCGCUAG
rnacentral:rRNA from 1 species